rnacentral:rRNA from 1 species
GACGAACGCUGGCGGCGUGCCUAACACAUGCAAGUCGAACGGAACUGUCCUGCUUUAGUUCUUCGCACUGAUUUUGAUUUAGUUGAGUGCACGAGAGUAGACUGCCCUUGGCUUUGCCAGCCCUUCAGAAGGCUAUAGCUUUCACAGGAUAAUGCCUCCUGCUCGCGGCAUAUCGGUAUCCACAUGUUCUUUGAUAUGGGAAAGUUCUCCCCUUGUAUAUGCACGCUCGUCCGAUUAUGUCUUAGCUGAGGUAUCACCUCUACCCGACCUGAAUCGGUGACCGGACUGAUAGGUACAGAGAUCCCGUUGAGACUCAUACACGACCCAGACUCCUACAGUAUUGCACAAUGGGCGAAAUUGUGAUGCGGCGGCACCCCUGACGCAACGACGCCCCUCGAAUUAUGAACGUCUUCCGACUGUGACCUUCUUUGAUUGACGACAAUGGAUGACGAAACUUCGUGUAUCUACUCCCGCUCACUCCCUGCCAUCCGCCGCGUGAAAACGUAGGCAGCAUUCAUUGUCCGUAUUUACUGCGUAUGAGGGUUAUCUCGGCGGCUUUGCAGUCAGAUGUGAAAUCUAUGGGCUCCUCCCAUAAACUGCAUUUGAAACUGUAGAGCUUGAGUGAAGUAGAGGCAGGCGGAAUUCCCCGUGUAGCGGUGAAAUGCGUAGAGAUGGGGAGGAACACCAGUGGCGAAGGCGGCCUGCUGGGCUUUAACUGACGCUGAGGCACGAAAGCGUGGGUAGCAAACAGGAUUAGAUACCCUGGUAGUCCACGCUGUAAACGAUGAUUACUAGGUGUGGGGGGUCUGACCCCUUCCGUGCCGGAGUUAACACAAUAAGUAAUCCACCUGGGGAGUACGGCCGCAAGGUUGAAACUCAAAGGAAUUGACGGGGGCCCGCACAAGCAGUGGAGUAUGUGGUUUAAUUCGAAGCAACGCGAAGAACCUUACCAGGUCUUGACAUCCAACUAACGAAGUAGAGAUACAUUAGGUGCCCUUCGGGGAAAGUUGAGACAGGUGGUGCAUGGUUGUCGUCAGCUCGUGUCGUGAGAUGUUGGGUUAAGUCCCGCAACGAGCGCAACCCUUGCUAUUAGUUGCUACGCAAGAGCACUCUAAUAGGACUGCCGUUGACAAAACGGAGGAAGGUGGGGACGACGUCAAAUCAUCAUGCCCCUUAUGACCUGGGCUACACACGUACUACAAUGGAUGUAAACAGAGGGAAGCAAGACAGUGAUGUGGAGCAAACCCCUAAAAACAUUCUCAGUUCAGAUUGCAGGCUGCAACCCGCCUGCAUGAAGAUGGAAUUGCUAGUAAUCGCGGAUCAGCAUGCCGCGGUGAAUACGUUCCCGGGCCU